rnacentral:sRNA from 1 species
CAGCAAAUGCACAUCAUGAUCACCUCAAAUAGAGACACUGAUGAUUUCUCUGUUCAUAAGUGCUUCUCUUUGGGGGUGUUUUGUUGG